UCCAGGAACCUUCACCAUGGAAACCCUUGUGCUCAUGGGCGUGGUCUCAAGACACAGUCAGCUGUUGGGGAUCAGAGGCCGCACUCAUCGUAGCAGAGAGGCAGGACCAACUGGGAGAGGGUCCUUCUGUGACACCUACUGCAUCACCAGGCUGUGUGAAGUGACUCAGCUGCCAGAACUCACACAAUAUAAUUCUACACCAAAGCUCACGGGAAAAAUGCUCCACGACCCUCAGACUUAAACAGCAGCACUGGCUCCUCCCCAGAUCUCCAGCUCCCUGACCUUCAAACUCCAACUCCAACACCAGCUCUGCCCCGGGUCUCCAGCUCCACAAUCCUCAAACUACAACAGCAGCACCAGCUCCCCUGGGGAUCUCCAGCUCAAUGACUCUCAGACUUGGGAGGCGGCACCGGCUCCCCACCAAGCCUCCAGCUCCACAACCUUCAAACUAGAAAGCAGCACCGGCUACCCCCUGGGUCUCCAGUUCCCUCAAACUUCAACUAUAGCACUGGCUCUUCCCCGAGCCACCAGCUCCACAACCCUCAACUUACACGGUGGUAGCACCAGCUCCUCCCUAGGUCUCCAGCUACACGACCAUCAAACUUGAACUGCAACACCAGCUCCUCUUCGGCCUCCAGCUCCACAAUCCUCCAACAACAACAGCAACACCGGCUCCUCCCUGAAUCUCCAGCUCAACAACCCUCAGACUUGAGAGGCAGCACUGGCACCUCCCCAAGGCUCCAGCUCCACGACCCUCAGAUUUGAACAGCGGUAGCACCAGCUCCUGUCCAGGUCUCCAGCUUCAUGAUCCUUAAACUAGAACAGCAACACCACCACCUCCCUGGGUUUCCAGCUCCACGACCCUAAGACAUGAAUGGCAGGACCGGGUCCCCCCUAGGGCUCCAGCUCCAAGACCCACAGAUAUAGACGGCAGCACUGGCUCUUCCUGGGAUCUCCAGCUCCAUGGCCUUCAAACAAGAUCAGCAGCACCAGCUCCCCUCUGGUUCUCCAGCUCCACAAUCCUCAGACAUGAACAGCAGCACAGGCUCCUCCUUGGAUCUCCAGCUUCGCUACCGUCAGACUAGAACAGCAACACUGGUUCUUCCCUGGGUCUCCAGCUCUACAAGUCUCAGACUUGAAAGGCAGCACUGGCUCCUCAGAAAGUUUCUGGCUCCAAGCUGGUGCUGCUGUCCUAGUUUGAAGGUCAUGGAACUGGAGACCCGGGGAGGAAACAUUUGAACAGCAGCACUGGCCCCUCCCCGGGUCUCAGGCUCCACAACCCUCAGACUUAAAAAGCCAUAGUACUGGCUUCUCCCUGGGUCUCCAGCUUUACAACCCUCAGACAUGAACAGCAGCACCGGCUCCUCCCCCUGUCUCCAGUUCCACGAACCUCAAACUACAACAGCAGUACCGGCUUCUCCUCAGGUCUCCAGAUCCACGACCCUCAAAAUAGAAUGGCAUCACUGGCUCCUCCCUGCGUCUCCAGCUCCCAAACUCUCAAACUUCAAUUGACACACCGGACCCUCCCCACAGUUAAACAGCAGCACAGGCUGUUCCCCAAAGCUCCAGAUCCACGACCCUCUGACUUAAAUGGCGAUAGCACCGGCUGCUCCCUAGGUCUCCAGUUCCACGACCCUCAAACUACAGAGCAGCACCGGCUCCUCCUUGAGUCUCCAGCUUCACUACACUCAGACUAGAACAGCAACACCGGUUCCUCCCUGGGUCUCCAGCUCAAUGACUCUCAGAUUUGAAAGGCAGCACCAGCUCCUCAAAAAGGUUCUGGCUCCAAGACCCUCAAACUAGAAUAGCAGCAGCUGCUGCAUCUUGGAUCUCCAGCUCCACAACCCUCAAAGUAGAAAAGCAGCCCUGGAUCCUCCCUGCCUCUCCAGCUCCUCAAGUCUGAGGGUUGUAGAGCUGGAGAUGCAGGGAGGAGUCAGUGCUGCUGUUCUAGUUUGAGGGUCGUGGAUCUGGAGACCCAGGGUGGAGCCGGUGCUGCUGUUCUAGUGUGAGGGUCAUGGAGCUGGAAGACCCCGGGAGGAGCCGGUGCUGCUGUUCUAGUGUGAGGGUCAUGGAGCUGGAAGACCCCGGGAGGAGCUGCUGCUGCUGUUCUAGUGUGAGGGUCAUGGAGCUGGAAGACCCUGGGAGGAGCUGCUGCUGCUGUCCUAGUUUGAAGGUCAUGGAGCUGGAGACCCGGGAAGGAGCCAUUUGAACAGCAGCACUGGCCCCUCCCCAGGUCUCAGGCUCCACGACCCUCAGACUUAAAAAGCCGUAGUACGGGCUUCUCCCUGGGUCUCCAGCUCUACAACCCUCAGACAUGAAGAGCAGCACCGGCUCCUCCCCCUGUCUCCCGUUCCAUGACCCUCAAACUACAACAGCAGUACCAGCCUCUCCCCAGGUCUCCAGAUCCACGACUCUCAAAAUAGAAUGGCAUCACCAGCUCCUCCCUGGGUCUCCAGCUCCCAAACCCUCAAACUUCAACUAACACAGCAGAUCCUCCCCACAGUUAAACAGCAGCAUGGGCUGUUCCCCAAAGCUCCAGAUCCACGACCCUCAGUAGCACUGGCUCCUCCCAAGGUCUCCAGUUCCAUGACCCUCAAACUACACAGCAGCACCGGCUCCUCCCCAGGUCUACAGCUCCACCACCCUCACACUAGACACCAAGACUACCUCCUUCCCGCUCUCCAGCUACACGACCCUCAGACUUGAACAGCUGCAGCGGCUCCUCCCUAGAUUUCCAGCUCCAUGACCCUCAACCUGCAACAGCAGCACCAGCUCCUCCCUGUACCUCAAGCCCCAUGACCCUCUGACUUGAUCAACAGCAACAGCAGCUCCCUCCCUGGUCUCCAGCUCCACAACCUUCAGCCUUAAACAGCAGCAGCACCAGCUCCUCCCUGGGUCUCCAGCUCCACAACCCUCAGACUAGAACCGCACCCCUCCUCCCUGAGUCUCCAGCUCCAUGACCGUCAAACUACAACAGCAACACAGGUUCCUGUCUGGAUCUCCAGCUCAGCAACUCUCAGACGAGGCAGCACCGGCAACUCACCAAGGCUCCAGCUCCACAACCCUCAGAUUUGAAUAAUGGUAGCACCAGCUCCUGUCCAGAUCUCCAGCUUCAUGAUCCUUAAACUAGAACAGCAGCACCGCUGCCUCCCUGGGUUUCCAGCUCCACAACCCUAAGACAUGAAUGGCAGAACCAGCUCCCCACAAGGGUUCCAGCUCCAGGACCCACAGAUUUAAAUGGCAGCACUGGCUCUUCCCAGGAUUUCCAGCUCCACUACCCUCAAACUAGAAGAGGAGCACCGGCUCCUCCCUGGGUCUCCAGCUCCCAAACCCUCAGACAUCACCUGACACACCGGAUCCUCCCCACAGUUACAUAGCAGCAUGGGCUGUCCCCGAAAACUCGAGAUCCACAACCCUCUGACUUCAAUGGCGGUAGCACUGGUUCCUCCCUAGGUCUCCAGUUCCAUGACCCUCAAACUACACAGCAGCACCAGGUCCUCCCCAGGUCUACAGCUCCACCACCCUCACACUAGACACCAAGACUACCUCCUCCCAGCUCUCCAGCUACACGACCCUCAGAAUUGAACAGCAGCAGCGUCUGCUCCCUGUACCUCAAGCUCCAUGACCCUCAUAUAUGAACAACAGCAACACCAGCUAAUGCCUAGGGCUCCAGCUCCAGGAUCCACAGAUUUAAACUGCAGCACCAGCUCGUCCAAGGAUCUCCAGCUCCACCACCCUCAGACUAGAACAAGACCUCUACUCCCUGGGUCGCGAGCUUCCGGACCCUCGAACUAUGAAAACAUUGCUCCUCCCUGGGUCUGCAGCUCCACGACCCUCAAACCAGAUCAAUAUCGCUCCUCCCUGUGUCAUCAGCUUCCUGACCCUCGAACUAUGACAAAAUUGCUCCUCCCUAGGUCAGCAGCUCCACAACCCUCAAACCAGAUCAAGAUCUCUCCUCCCUGGGUCGCCAGCUUCCUGACCUUCAAACAACAGAAACAUUGCUCGUCCCUGGGUCAGCAGCUCCACGAUCCUCAAACUAGAAUGAGACCUCUCCUCCCUGCGUCGCCAGCUUCCAGACCCUUGAACUAUGAAAACAUUGCUCCUCCCUGGGUCGGGAGCUCCAUGACCCUCAGACUAGAACACGAUCUCUCCUCCCUGGGUCACCAGCUUCCGAACCUUGGAACUAAAACAACAUUGCUCCUCCCUGGGUCAGCAGCUCCACGACCCUCAAACCAGAUCAAGAUCUCUCCUCCCUGUGUCGUCAGCUUCCUGACCCUCGAACUAUGACAGCAUUGCUCCUCCCUGGGUCCGCAGCUCCACGACCCUCAAACUAGAACAAGACCUCUCCUCCGUGUGUCGCCAGCUUCCUGACCCUCGAACUAUGACAGCAUUGCUCCUCCCUGGGUCCGCAGCUCCACGACCCUCAAACCAGAUCAAGAUCUCUCCUCCGUGUGUCAUCAGCUUCCAGACCCUCAAACUAUGACAGCAUUGCUCCUCCCUGGGUCCGCAGCUCCACGACCCUCAAACUAGAACAAGACCUGUCCUCCGUGUGUCGCCAGCUUCCUGACCCUCAAACUACAAAAACAUUGCUCCUCCUUGGGUCUGCAGCCCCACGACCCUCAAACUAGAACAAGACCUGUCCUCCCUGUGUCCCCAGCUUCCUGACCCUCGAAGUACAACAUUGCUCCUCCCUGGGUCUGCAGCUCCACGACCCUCAAACCAGAUCAAGAUCUCUCCUCCCUGUGUCAUCAGCUUCCUGACCCUCGAACUAUGACAGCAUUGCUCCUCCCUGGGCGCACCCUCAAACUAGAACCAGACCUCUCCUCCCUGUGUCGCCAGCUUCCUGACCCUUGAACUAUGAAAACAUGGCUCCUCCCUGGGUCUGCAGCUCCACGACCCUCAAACUAAAACAAGACCUCUCCUCUCUAGGUCUGCAGCUUCCAGUCCCUCAAAUAACAACAUUGCUCCUCCCUGGAUCUGCAGCUCCAUGACCCUCAGACUACAACAAGAUCUCUCCUCCCUGGGUCACCAGCUUCCGGACCCUCGAACUACGAAAACAUUGCUCCUCCGUGGGUCUCCAGCUCCAUGACCCUCAAACUAAAACAAGAUCUCUCCUCCCUGUGUCAUCAGCUUCCAGUCCCUCAAAUAACAACAUUGCUCCUCCCUGGGGUCUGCAGCUCCACGACCCUCAGACUAGAACAAGACCUCUCCUCCCUGAGUCACCAGCUUCCGAACCUUCGAACUAAAACAACAUUGCUCCUCCCUGGGUCAGCAGCUCCACGUCCCUCAAACUAGAACAAGACCUCUCCUCCCUAGGUCUGCAGCUUCCAGUCCCUCAAAUAACAACAUUGCUCCUCCCUGGGUCCGCAGCUCCACGUCCCUCAAACUAGAACAAGAUCUCUCCUCCCUAGGUCUGCAGCUUCCAGUCCCUCAAAUAACAACAUUGCUCCUCCCUGGAUCUGCAGCUCCACGACCCUCAGACUAGAACAAGAUCUCUCCUCCCUGGGUCACCAGCUUCUGGACCCUCGAACUACAAAAACAUUGCUCCUCCCUGGGUCUGCAGCUCCACGACCCUCAAACUAAAACAAGAUCUCUCCUCCCUGUGUCGCCAGCUUCCGGACCCUCGAACUAUGACAACAUUGCUCCUCCCUGGGUCUGCAGCUCCACGACUCUCAAACUGGAACAGCAGCACCAGCUCCUUCCUGGACCUCCAGGUCAAUGACUCUCAGACUUCAAAGGCAGCUGCAGCUCCACCCCCAGGCUCCAGCUCCAAAACCCUCAGAUGUGAGCAGUGGCAGCACCAGCUCCUUUCUGCGUCUCCGGCUUCAUGAUCCUUAAAUUAGAACAGCAGCGCCAUCUUCUCCCUGCGUCUCCAGCUCCAGGAACCUCAAACUGCAACAGGAGCACCCGUUCCUCUGGGAUUUUCACCUCCACGACCCUGAGGCGUCAGUGGCAGCACUGGCUCCUCCCCUGGGCUGCAGCUCCAGAACCCUCAUGAAUAAUCCCUUCUCAUGAAAUGUAGCAGUCAGGAAAACUGCCGAGGCAGUAAAUAAAUAAAUGUUUUCUUUCAAA